AACGAACGCUGGCGGCAUGCCUAACACAUGCAAGUCGAACGAGACCUUCGGGUCUAGUGGCGCACGGGUGCGUAACGCGUGGGAAUCUGCCCUUGGGUUCGGAAUAACAGUGAGAAAUUACUGCUAAUACCGGAUGAUGCCUUCGGACCAAAGAUUUAUCGCCCAGGGAUGAGCCCGCGUAGGAUUAGCUAGUUGGUGGGGUAAUGGCCUACCAAGGCGACGAUCCUUAGCUGGUCUGAGAGGAUGAUCAGCCACACUGGGACUGAGACACGGCCCAGACUCCUACGGGAGGCAGCAGUGGGGAAUAUUGGACAAUGGGCGCAAGCCUGAUCCAGCAAUGCCGCGUGAGUGAUGAAGGCCUUAGGGUUGUAAAGCUCUUUUACCCGGGAUGAUAAUGACAGUACCGGGAGAAUAAGCUCCGGCUAACUCCGUG
rnacentral:rRNA from 1 species